CGAACGCUGGCGGCGUGCUUUAUACAUGCAAGUCGAACGAUGAAGUUCCUUCGGGAAUGGAUUAGUGGCGAACGGGUGAGGAACACGUGAGAAACCUGCCUUUCAUUCUGGGAUAACACCGGGAAACCGGUGCUAAAACCGGAUACUCCGUCUUGGCGGCAUCGCCGAGCCGGGAAAAAUUUUGAUGAAAGAUGGUCUCGCGGCCUAUCAGCUAGUUGGUGAGGUAAUGGCUCACCAAGGCAACGACGGGUAGCCGGCCUGAGAGGGCGACCGGCCACACUGGGACUGAGACACGGCCCAGACUCCUACGGGAGGCAGCAGUAGGGAAUAUUGGGCAAUGGGCGAAAGCCUGACCCAGCGACGCCGCGUGAGGGAUGAAGGUCUUCGGAUUGUAAACCUCUUUCAGUAGGGAAGAAGCGAAAGUGACGGUACCUAAAGAAGAAGCACCGGCUAACUAUGUGCCAGCAG
rnacentral:rRNA from 1 species